rnacentral:rRNA from 1 species
GACGAACGCUGGCGGCGUGCUUAACACAUGCAAGUCGAACGGAAAGGCCCUGCUUUUGUGGGGUGCUCGAGUGGCGAACGGGUGAGUAACACGUGAGUAACCUGCCCUUGACUUUGGGAUAACUUCAGGAAACUGGGGCUAAUACCGGAUAGGAGCUCCUGCUGCAUGGUGGGGGUUGGAAAGUUUCGUCGGUUGGGGAUGGACUCGCGGCUUAUCAGCUUGUUGGUGGGGUAGUGGCUUACCAAGGCUUUGACGGGUAGCCGGCCUGAGAGGGUGACCGGCCACAUUGGGACUGAGAUACGGCCCAGACUCCUACGGGAGGCAGCAGUGGGGAAUAUUGCACAAUGGGCGGAAGCCUGAUGCAGCAACGCCGCGUGCGGGAUGACGGCCUUCGGGUUGUAAACCGCUUUCGCCUGUGACGAAGCGUGAGUGACGGUAAUGGGUAAAGAAGCACCGGCUAACUACGUG